rnacentral:pre_miRNA from 1 species
UCGGGAGAGCAGACUGGUGGUCGAAACCACGACCUGAGCCUGCGCUCCUGCCCAGC